CCUACGGGAGGCAGCAGUGAGGAAUAUUGGUCAAUGGGCGAGAGCCUGAACCAGCCAAGUCGCGUGAGGGAGUACUGCCCUAUGGGUUGUAAACCUCUUUUGUCGGGGAGCAAAAGCCGGACGUGUUCGGCUGUGAGAGUACCCGAAGAAAAAGCAUCGGCUAACUCCGUGCCAGCAGCCGCGGUAAUACGGAGGAUGCGAGCGUUAUCCGGAUUUAUUGGGGUUAAAGGGUGCGCAGGCGGAUUUUUAAGUCAGCGGUCAAAUCGUGGGGCUCAACCCCAUCCAGCAGUUGAAACUGGGGAUCUAGAGUGUGCGAGAGGUAUGCGGAAUGCGUGGUGUAGCGGUGAAAUGCAUAGAUAUCACGCAGAACCCCGAUUGCGAAGGCAGCAUACCGGUGCACAACUGACGCUCAGGCACGAAAGCGUGGGUAUCGAACAGGAUUAGAUACCCCUGUAGUC
rnacentral:rRNA from 1 species